rnacentral:sRNA from 1 species
CAAUUUACAAGGUGUGUCCGCAGCCAGCAGCGGCCGCAUCGUGGUAGCAGACAGCAACAACCAGUGUAUUCAGUCUGCUACUCAGUCUCAUGAGCCUACCUCCUACAUAUGUCUUGAGUCCAUCUGCUUCCCUCCAGCCAAUUUCCUUGGUCUAAGCCAUCAUCAUUUCUCAACUGGAAUACUGCAACAGCCUCUGACUGGGCAGCCAGCUUCUAGUCUUGACUCCUCCCUACAGCCAGAAUGUUCUUUCUUAAAAGCAAAAUUGAUCUUGUCACUGCUAUGCCUAGAAAUGUUAAGAGACUCCUCAUUACACCCAGGAUAAAACAUAAUUCCUUCUUUUGUUCACCUGGGUGCUCCCUGCAGUCCAGCCACACUGGACAAGUCCUCAAGUGGUGCCCAUACUGGACUUUGUGCCUUUUACAUCUGUUCACUCUGCUUGAAUGCCUUUCCUCUUCCUUUCCUGGCCGAAUUUGGUUUAUGUCGCAUCCUCAUUAGGCUAUUUGUUCAGACAUCUUCUUCUCUUGGAGCCUUUUCUCACCAUUCCCCUUCAUCCCUUCAUGUUCUCACAAUCCCAUUCACAUCUCUGUUGCAUUGCCCCAGACCUGCUGCCGUGUUUGAUUUUGUCAGUAAGUGCUUGUUGAAUGACCGAAUAAAUGG